GGGAGCCAGUUCAAGGAAACAGGUAUGUCAUCUUCCUUUUGCAUGCCCAGCACAAAGGAGGGAUUUGCUAUACCCCAUUCUUGCACAUCCCCUUUUGGGUGCCAAGGUCAAUAGUGACAUCAACAUCUGGGAGGGGUCUAACAAUGUUUACCAUAGCUGCCUUCUUCAUACACCAAUUGUGUAAAUGGAACGUUAUUCAUGCAGAUUUUAUUUUUGUACCAGUAGUUUACUUUUGCAGUAUCUUACAUUUAAUACACUGAUGACAUCAUCUGGUUUUACUGGAAAUGGAACAGACCAAGGAAACACCAUUUCAAGGAGGAAAAAGCUGCUACUGGCUGAGAAUGCAUGCAGGACAGAAGUCAAGAAAAGGUCCAUGGGACCAUGGAGAUAAAUCGUAGGAAACCAUCCGAGGUAGAAAAUGAAAUGAAUCCAAGACUUUAACAUCAUUCCUUUGGUGGAUCAUGGAGGAUUUAUCGUUUGCAAUUGGGAGCCUAAUAUCUUUUUGCUGCACAACAAUGAUGGCUUUGACUUAAAUUUAGACCAUGAAGAGAAUGUCUUUUGUAGACAAAUCCAAUCAGAGUUUUAGUUGGACCACAGAGAAUGUGUUUUUAAAAGAUUGAAGCCAUACAAGCCUUUGGUAAGACCAUGAAGCAUGGUCCAAGAGCAAGAUGUCUCAGAAAACCAUCCUAAAGAUUUAGCCCAAGCAUAGGUGCUAUACAAAGUACAGUCAUAUAAUUGAAAUAGUAUGAAGAGGCCACAGUGAUCUUCCAAGCGCCAUAGUCCCUUCCAACAACUGAUCAAUGGGGUGAUGGAAGACUGACCGCCACCAAUCAGAUACUAUUGAACUAUUCCGUAGAAAAAUUCAUCAAGAUGGAGAUCCUGGAAAAUCCUUUUAAUUUUAUUAUUUAUGUUAUUUAUGUGUAAUUAAUCCAGUUCGAGGUUUAGUUGGACCAUGAAAAUGUGUAUUUGAAACAUUGAACCCAUUCAAGCCAUUGGUAAGACCAUCAAGGGUGUCCAUAUUUUGUCCAAGAGCAAGAUGUCUCAGGUAACCAUGCUAAAGAUGUAGACCAAUCAUAGGUGCUGUAUGAAGUACAGCCCUAUGCUUGGAAUUGUAUGAAGAGGCCACAGUGCUCUUCCAAGCACCAUAGCCCCUUCCAACAACUGAUCGAUGGGGGUGAUGGCAGAAUGACCACCACCAAUCAGAUACUGUUGAACUAUUCCUAAUAAUUCAUCAAGAUGGAGAUCCUAGAAAAUCCUUUUAAUUUUAUAAUUUAUGCUUAAUGUAUUAUUAUUUGUAUUUAUUUAUUUAUCUAUUUAUUUAUUUAUUUAUUUCUUAUUUAUUAGCAUUUAGAUGUUGUUAGCCUAAAGUCUUUUAGCUUUCUAUUUGGGGAUUCUCAUUUUGCUCUUUGUCUUGGAUCUGAUGCAACCCAUUGGAUCCCAUCCUUACUUUUUGCAUACUUCAGAGGCGGGGUCUGCUGCUACUUUAGGAAAAAAAAUAUGUUUUUGACCCCCAACCUGUUAGAACACAUGUUCAGGGCUUCACUUGUUAGUAGGUUGGCAGGGAAUUUUUGAGAGAAACAAAGGGGGUGGUCUAUAGCAAGCAACCCACUGUCUUCAAAUGAA